rnacentral:rRNA from 1 species
CCGUAAACGGUGGGCACUAGUUGUGGGAACCUUCCACGGUUUCUGCGACGCAGCUAACGCGUUAAGUGCCCCGCCUGGGGAGUACGAUCGCAAGAUUAAAACUCAAAGGAAUUGACGGGGCCCCGCACAAGCAGCGGAGCAUGCGGCUUAAUUCGACGCAACGCGAAGAACCUUACCAAGGCUUGACAUAUAGGGAAAAGUGGCAGAGAUGUCAUGUCCGCAAGGGCUCUAUACAGGUGGUGCAUGGUUGUCGUCAGCUCGUGUCGUGAGAUGUUGGGUUAAGUCCCGCAACGAGCGCAACCCUCGUUCUGUGUUGCCAGCAUUUAGUUGGGGACUCACAGGAGACUGCCGGGGUUAACUCGGAGGAAGGUGGGGAUGACGUCAAAUCAUCAUGCCCCUUAUGUCUUGGACUGCACGCAUGCUACAAUGGCUGGUACAAAGGGCUGCAAUACUGCAAAGUGGAGCGAAUCCCAAAAAGCCAGUCUCAGUUCGGAUUGGGGUCUGCAACUCGACCCCAUGAAGUCGGAGUUGCUAGUAAUCGUAGAUCAGCAACGCUACGGUGAAUACGUUCCCGGGGCUUGUACACACCGCCCGUCACAUCACGAAAGUCGGUAACACCCGAAGUCAGUGGCCCAACCGCAAGGAG